AUUGAACGCUGGCGGCAGGCCUAACACAUGCAAGUCGAGCGGAUCGGCGGACGGGUGAGUAAGACUUAGGUAUCUGCCCGGUAGUGGUGGAUGACGUUCGGUAACGGGCGCUAUUACCACUACCUAUCAGAUGAGCAUAGGUCGGAGUAGCUAGGUGGUGGGGUAAUGGCCUACCAAGGCGACGAUCAGUAACUGGUCUGAGAGGAUGAGGAGCCACACUGGAACUGAGACACGGGCCAGACUCCUACGGGAGGCAGCAGUGGGGAAUAUUGGACAAUGGGCGAAAGCCUGAUCCAGCCAUGCCGCGUGUGUGAAGAAGGUCUUCGGAUUGUAAAGCACUUUAAGUUGGGAGGCGUUACCAACAGAAUAAGCACCGGCUAACUUCGUGCCAGCAGCCGCGGUAAUAC
rnacentral:rRNA from 1 species